CAUAGUUCACCCUGACAUCCUGUGUAUUUCAAAUUACUAUCGAUAAGCACUAAGCUGACACUUUUUUUCAAGAGGAUAAUUUUCCAGUGGCUUAAAAUAACAUUCUAGAUGCUCUCUGUAAUAACUAUUUGAAAUUGGUCCAGGUAUUACCCUUCUUUUCGUAAAAUAUGGAAGCAAUGGCCCCAAAGGAAAAUGCCUUGAAAGGAGAUGUGCUCACAGUCACUUCAUACAGUUUAAACACUUUCAUAUCAGAAUGGUAUGUUUGCAUUUCUAAACCCCCUUAAUAACUGUUAAUGUAUUUUAUAUGAGCAGGGUGGCCAUUAUUGUGCCGCUUUCACAAAGACAGAAAUUGAGGACACAGGGUGCCUAUGAUAGGAGAGCCUGACAGACCACAUAGCUUACAGUUCCUCUUUCAGCCAGGAAGAGAAGGUGGUGGAAUGGGUAAUUGAGUUACACACACACACACAGACACACACACACACAGACACAGACACACACACACACACACACACACUCUCUCUCUCUCUCUCUCUCUCUCUCUCUCUCUCUCACACACACACACUUCAACAAGGAUGAAGCAGCUCCUGUUAAGGCAAAGAUCCUGCUGGAAAACAUUUCCAGGAAGCAUUAUGGCCAGAGGAAAUCUAUCCAUGAGACUCUGAAGGCUGUUACGAAAGGGGCUGCAAUCAUAGGCUUCCCAGACACAUGGAUGAGCAUCCUAGGGAAGAAGCAGAGUGAGCCUCUGGGGAGUCAGUGCAUGGACAUCUCUAGAAGUUUCUAUGGGGAAGAAACCUUGGCAAAGACUUUGGAAUCACAUCACUUGAAUAUAUUCAAGGUGAAGCUUCUCUUUCUUUCUUUUUCUCUUAGGCUACUUUUCUUAUUUUUGCAUACAGAAGAGCAAGAGAAAGAAUAUUU
rnacentral:lncRNA from 1 species